rnacentral:rRNA from 1 species
UACGUAGGGUGCAGGCGUUAAUCGGAAUUACUGGGCGUAAAGCGUGCGCAGGCGGUUUGCUAAGACAGGUGUGAAAUCCCCCGGGCUUAACCUGGGAACUGCGCUUGUUACUGGCAAGCUUGAGUGUGGCAGAGGGGGGGUGGAAUUCCGACGUGUAGCAGUGAAAUGCGUAGAGAUGUGGGAGGAACACCGAUGGCGAAGGCAGCCCCCCUGGGCUAACACUGACGCUCAUGCACGAAAGCGUGGGGAGCAAACAGG